rnacentral:rRNA from 1 species
GAUGAACGCUGGCGGCGUGCUUAACACAUGCAAGUCGAACGGUGAACACGGAGCUUGCUCUGUGGGAUCAGUGGCGAACGGGUGAGUAACACGUGAGCAACCUGCCCCUGACUCUGGGAUAAGCGCUGGAAACGGCGUCUAAUACUGGAUAUGUGACGUGACCGCAUGGUCUGCGUUUGGAAAGAUUUUUCGGUUGGGGAUGGGCUCGCGGCCUAUCAGCUUGUUGGUGAGGUAAUGGCUCACCAAGGCGUCGACGGGUAGCCGGCCUGAGAGGGUGACCGGCCACACUGGGAUUGAGACACGGCCCAGACUCCUACGGGAGGCAGCAGUGGGGAAUAUUGCACAAUGGGCGAGAGCCUGAUGCAGCAACGCCGCGUGAGGGAUGACGGCCUUCGGGUUGUAAACCUUUUUUAGCAGGGAAGAAGCGAAAGUGACGGUACCUGCAGAAAAAGCGCCGGCUAACUACGUG